AGGCGAGGGCGGUGGUGGAACGGGAUGGCCACUGCGCCAGCUGCUAGAAAUCUGGUACCGCGGAAGGAGGAGUAGGAGGAGGAGAUUUGGGAAGCAAGAGAGGAGGCGUAAUGGCAACGAACGGGAGAAGAUUUGAGGGAAGCAUGGGGUAAAAAAAAGCGAAAAAAGGCGGUGGAGGAGGGAGCGGAAGGAUUGGCUUCUUAUAUCGGCGUCCAGAUUCGCUCUGCUUCUUUCGAAUUCCGGAGAUCCGCUGCUAUCGUUCUCUGCUCGGAGAAGGAGGGGCCUUUUUUUGUGCCUUCCCAUUGGAGAGAAGAGAAAGCAGUGACGCGGAAUAAAAAAAGGAGGAAAAGGUGAGUGUAAUUUUCUAGCCUUUUCGAAGGGGAAUUUUCUCCGUGAUGGAGAAAAUUUUGCCUAUGUGCCAUUAGAAACGGCUGGUGUUGGAAUCUUUCUGGACAUUUGUCUCUUGAGAUUUCUUUUUGCUAUAUGGUUAUGGUAUAAUUAUGGCUAGUUCAUCAUAAAUUGGCAUCAUCUACGUGCAAAAUUAGAAGAUGGAGACUACUACUAACAAUGGUUCUCAGCAAAAAAGUAUAGGUUCUUCAUUUAGUCAUCCUAGCAUGGUCUCUUUCCAGCCAGGAACAGUAGAUAGCUCAACAGAGAUGGUUAAUGGUUACAUACCCACUUUUGAUGGAAACAGUAGCAUGGCCAGCAUUUUUAUGUGCGCUGGCUCUGGUGUGAUCAAUCACAUGGAUACAGCAACUCAAGCUCAGUACACUCCUGGAUCUGUUCUUCAGGAACUGAUGCCUAGGUUUACAAAUGUUUCUGGUUCACCUGCGUAUUGGUCUCCAGGAGAAGUUGAUAUAUUAAACAGAGGCCUCAUAAGCUUUGCAAGUGAAUCGAGUAUACAACAGUACUCCAAGAUAGCUGCUAUGCUGCCUCAGAAGACUAUACGGGAUGUUGCUUUGAGAUGCCAAUGGAUUAUUAGCAAGGAAAAUGUAAAAAGGAGGAAGACAGGAGAAUAUUAUGCAUCAAAAAUGAUGAAAGACACGAAGGAAAGGAGGACGGGCAUUCCCUCAGCAAGUACUUCUAUGGCUCCUGAUCUACUAACAAUGCAUCAUUUGAACAUCCAUGAUCAACUUCUAUCCGAAGAAAUGAAGAGUAUUCUCAUAAAAAAUGAAACAUGUCUAAGAGCAAUUGCACAAAAUCUUGAGGGAGGCAUGAUGCAAAACAACUUAAGUUUGUUCCGUUAUAUGAGAAACAACAUUGCCACCGCGGAGAAUAGAAUAAAUACUCUACCUAGAGGAAUGAACCAACUUCCUGGGUCAUUGAAACAAAUACCUCCUAUUCCAGUAUCCGCAAACGAUGAGCUUCUCAGCAGCCUCAUACCUCUGAAUGAACAUGUUAUCUACACCACACCUGGUGGAAGCAGCAGUAACUUGCAGUCGGAUCUAACAUGCUACAGACCUCCUAAUACAGGCUGACUUACUGAACUCAAUUAUGUAAGAUUCUCUCACAAAAUUCUGCACAACCUCUCUUCCCAGCUUUCUCGAUAGAGUGUUCGGUCGGGAAACCAUCAGAAGAGGAGCUGUAAAUAGUAGUAGUAGUGAACCAGGCACAAGGUUACAAGAAACCUCCUUUUCAAGGUUGAAUCCGACAAGUAGGCUAUAACGAUGGUCAAUUUCUUGCUUCACUUUGUCGUCACCACCUUGCGCCCAAUCUUCACCUCGAUUGUGAAUGGUAUCAUUCGUUAUUGAUCUAUAAAGGCCUCCUUCCUUUUGUUGUUGCGAUGGAACACUACUUUGAGGCUAUGGAAUAUUGGCCGACCUGACAUAGAUAGGGAUCAAAGGAUGAUGACACAUGACACAGGUAGAAGCUGAAGGAAAUCUUAGGCAGUAAGGAGGGGAACACUAUCUUGCUACGGAGACACUGAGACGAGCGAAUUAUCUUUUGCCAUCAGGAACACUAUCUUGCCAUGUCAU